CAGAGAGUAGUUUAAUUAAAAUAUUAGUUUUGGGAAUUAAAGAUAAAGAAUGUUUUUCUCUCUGAG
rnacentral:tRNA from 1 species